GUUACUAGAGUGUAGAGCUUUGCCUGCUAUCUCUUACCCAUGUCUUUUGAGUACCUUACGUUUCCUCGGUGGGUUCGCCCACCGAUUGGACAAAUUUAAACCCUUUGCAGUUGAAAUCAGCGUCUGAAAAAACUUAAUAGUUACAACUUUCAACAACGGAUCUCUUGGUUCUGGCAUCGAUGAAGAACGCAGCGAAAUGCGAUAAGUAGUGUGAAUUGCAGAAUUCAGUGAAUCAUCGAAUCUUUGAACGCACAUUGCGCCCCUUGGUAUUCCAUGGGGCAUGCCUGUUCGAGCGUCAUUUGUACCUUCAAGCUCUGCUUGGUGUUGGGUGUUUGUCUCCUGUAGACUCGCCUUAAAACAAUUGGCAGCCGGCGUAUUGAUUUCGGAGCGCAGUACAUCUCGCGCUUUGCACUCAUAACGACGACAUCCAAAAGUACAUUUUUACACUCUUGACCUCGGAUCAGGUAGGGAUACCCGCUGAACUUAAGCAUAUCAAAA
rnacentral:rRNA from 1 species